rnacentral:pre_miRNA from 1 species
AGGGAAAUGCCGGAUCAUGGGCUGUGUUCCCUGGCACCUUGUGCUCUGCAGCCUGCACUGCUGGAAUCAUGCUCCAGGACUGUGCAGCCCCCU